rnacentral:rRNA from 1 species
AGUGAACGCUGGCGGCAGGCCUAACACAUGCAAGUCGAACGGCAGCACAGGAGAGCUUGCUCUCUGGGUGGCGAGUGGCGGACGGGUGAGGAAUAUAUCGGAAUCUACCCUUUCGUGGGGGAUAACGUAGGGAAACUUACGCUAAUACCGCAUACGAACUGAGGUUGAAAGCGGCGGACCGCAAGGCGUCGCGCGGAUGGACGAGCCGAUAUCCGAUUAGCUGGUUGGCGGGGUAAAGGCCCACCAAGGCGACGAGCGGUAGCUGGUCUGAGGGGACGAGCAGCCACACUGGAGCUGGGACACGUUCCAGACUACUACGGGAGGCAGCAGUGGGGAGUAUUGGACAAUGGGCGCAAGCCUGAUCCAGCCAUGCCGCGUGUGUGACGAAGGCCUUCGGAUUGUAAAGCACUUUUGUUGGGAAAGAAAAGCGGUCGGUUAAUACCCGGUCGUUCUGACGGUACCCAAAGAAUAAGCACCGGCUAACUUCGUGCCAGCCGCCGCGGUAAUAC